rnacentral:rRNA from 1 species
UACGUAGGGCGCAAGCGUUGUCCGGAAUUAUUGGGCGUAAAGAGCUCGUAGGCGGUUUGUCGCGUCUGCUGUGAAAACCUGAGGCUCAACCUUGGGCUUGCAGUGGGUACGGGCAGACUAGAGUGCGGUAGGGGUGACUGGAAUUCCUGGUGUAGCGGUGAAAUGCGCAGAUAUCAGGAGGAACACCGGUGGCGAAGGCGGGUCUCUGGGCCGUAACUGACGCUGAGGAGCGAAAGCAUGGGGAGCGAACAGG